rnacentral:rRNA from 1 species
UACGGGGGGGGCAAGCGUUGUUCGGAAUUACUGGGCGUAAAGGGCUCGUAGGCGGCCAACUAAGUCAAACGUGAAAUCCCUCGGCUUAACCGGGGAACUGCGCUUGAUACUGGAUGGCUUGAGAUUGGGAGAGGGAUGCGGAAUUCCAGGUGUAGCGGUGAAAUGCGUAGAGAUCAUGAGGAAGACCAGUGGCGAAGGCGGGUCUCUGGACAGUUCCUGACACUGAGACACGAAGGCCAGGGGAGCAAACGGG